rnacentral:lncRNA from 1 species
AUACAGGGAAAAAUGAGAGCAACAGAGAAAAUCAACAGCCUUAUAUAUGAAUAAGGGUACAAAAGAAGUCAUACAACUGAAUGUUCGAAAACAGAGUACAAAGAAAAGAGAAUCCCAUCCAACAAGCCUGGUGGUGAUUCUCAACAAUAAAGAUCCAANGUACAAAGAAAAGAGAAUCCCAUCCAACAAGCCUGGUGGUGAUUCUCAACAAUAAAGAUCCAAGAGAUGGAUUACACACAAAUGAAUCCCAUCCAACAAGCCUGGAGGUGAUUCAGCAACAAAAUACAAAUAUACAGUCUAAGGCAGACGGUCUUCAGGGAUGAGGGUCUUCAGGUAAUGACACUGGUCUAUCAACAGUGAGCAUUCUGAACAAUCUGGUAGCGGAGUGAUC